GUGAGGAAUUUUCCGCAAUGGGCGAAAGCCUGACGGAGCAAUGCCGCGUGAAGGAUGAAGGCCUAUGGGUUGUAAACUUCUUUUCUCAGAAAAGAAUUAUGACGGUAUCUGAGGAAUAAGCAUCGGCUAACUCUGUGCCAGCAGCCGCGGUACGACAGAGGAUGCAAGCGUUAUCCGGAAUGAUUGGGCGUAAAGCGUCUGUAGGUUGUUUAAAAAGUAUUCUGUCAAAGAUUAGGGCUUAACCCUAGAUAGGCAGAAUAAACUUUUAAGCUAGAGGUUGGUAGAGGCAGAGGGAAUUCCCGGUGGAGCGGUGAAAUGCGUAGAUAUCGGGAGGAACACCAAAGGCGAAGGCACUCUGCUGGGCCAAUACUAACACUGAGAGACGAAAGCGAGGGGAGCAAAUGGGAUUAGAAACCCUUGUAGUCC
rnacentral:rRNA from 1 species